UACGUAGGGCGCAAGCGUUAUCCGGAAUUAUUGGGCGUAAAGAGCUCGUAGGCGGUUUGUCGCGUCUGCCGUGAAAGUCCGGGGCUCAACUCCGGAUCUGCGGUGGGUACGGGCAGACUAGAGUGAUGUAGGGGGAGACUGGAAUUCCUGGUGUAGCGGUGAAAUGCGCAGAUAUCAGGAGGAACACCGGUGGCGAAGGCGGGUCUCUGGGCAGUAACUGACGCUGAGACGCGAAAGCGUGGGGAGCAAACAGG
rnacentral:rRNA from 1 species